rfam:Selenihalanaerobacter shriftii strain ATCC BAA-73 genome assembly, contig: EI55DRAFT_scaffold00014.14
CGAUAGGUGAAAGUCCUAUCAGAGCAAAAGUCAAAACUCUGUAGUUGAAUGGCAAUAUAAUUGGGAAACCAGUUAUAUUGAAGUCCAUUAAUUAAGAUAUUUAUAAGGCAUCGAUUAAGCAUGCAGACUGUAACACCA